rnacentral:lncRNA from 1 species
UAGGAAAUCUUCAAGCAGCAGCUAGAAGAGCACUUGUCAGAUAUGGGAAUUGAGCUCAGUGGCUCCAAAGGUCCCUUCUGCCUCUUAAAUUCUGUGAUUCUUCAUGGAUGGGUCAAUUCUUUUACCAGGAUUGGAGAGAUGAUGCAGAAAAACUUUAAGAAAAAAAAGGCAUUGAAUUUGAUAAGUAUUUUGUCAUCUCUUCCAGAAAUAUUAGCCAGCUUUGGCAUUGGGGCAAAGUGUGCACAAGAUAGGCGUUUACCAAGAGUGAAGGGUGAGCAAGUAAAAAACAACAUAUGCAUAAAAGCAGGAGAUUCAAGAACAGAAGCAAAUGCAUCAUUGAAUGGCCAAACCAUUGGGUCAGUCCUAGUGUAGAAGGGAAGAAAUGAAGGCUUCAAACUAUAAUUAGGUUAGAAACUAAGUUCUCAAAACUACUUCAUUGUGCACAUGCUAGCAGAAAGGAAGAGGAAGUGAUGAACAUGAAACAAAUAAUGUUUGUCCUAUGAACAAGAGACUAAAACCAUUUGUUCGGAUACAUUUGCAAUCGUUAAGUUCUCAUGUAGGAAAGUCCUUGAAACUACAUGUCACAUUCUGCUUCACUUUGAAAUGCAAAAAGAUCUUUGAGUUACUUCUUUAUUUCCUAGAGAUAAAUAAUUCUGCCCUGAUGUGUAACUUUCUUGUAGAUGUUAAACCACACAUAUUUUCCCAGAUUGCUUUUGAACAUGUAUCAAAGAUUCUAGAUCAUAUCUUUUACUCAGUAUUUUUGAAAAUUCAUGGAACUUCUACAACAGCAUGAGAAUUCUCCUUACAAUCAAAUGAUACAUAAUGAUAAAUUUUUGGCCCUAAUAGAUACAAACUCUACACACAACAGGAAUUUUUUUUAAACUUCUACACUGGGAAGGGAGAGAAGUGAGACUAGAACACUGGCAACAGAGAGAGAAUUCUCUCUGGGUACUCAUAAAUGUUUAUUUAAUAGGGAUUUAUUAAGAGAUCAGAAGUCAUCAUGAAAGCAAAGAGCAGG